rnacentral:misc_RNA from 1 species
CGCAUCCGGCGUUCUCUGCGUCUCUGCCUCUCCUCUGAAGCCUUCUUUCUCUCUCUUCCCUCUUCCUCCAGUGAUCUUCUCUCACACGUCCUGCCGUGUUGCUCCAGCUUGCGGACGUUGUCUUCUGCUUUGGUAUCUUCCCGUCGCCCUUCUGCAGCUCGCUGGUUUCUGCGUGCGUGCAUGAGCGGUGCGCCAACACGCUUGGCGUCAGAGCACAUCCACGUGAUUCAUCACCGGCCUGCCUCUGCCCUUUUCUCACCAUCACUACACCGCACCUGCCAGAGCCCGACACGGUGACGCGCCGCCGCCACCCAUCCCUACUCCCCCCCCCUUCUCUCCCCUCCCCUUUACGCACGCAUCUCCAGAGAUGUCCACGAUCAGCGGGCCCAAUGGCAAACCCGCCCAUGAGCCCGUCACCUCCGCCGCCCAAACCAACGCCGACCUGUAUGUGUUCCAUGAGAAGUAUUCGUGCGGCAACGUGUCCCAGACGGCGCUCGGUCGCCAGGAUGCCCUGGCUCUCAACAAGAACAGCAAAUCGCUCCGUGAAAGCUCGCGGAAGCUGAAGCGGAAGCGUCUGUGUGAGCUCCAGGAGUGGGAAUAUCAGGCAGCAACCGCACCGCGGCGCUGCGCGAACCCGGGCCCGGUCGGCCUGCUCGGCUUUGGCCUCUCGACGAUCCUGCUGAACCUGCACAACACCGGGAGCUUUCCGCUGUCGACGGUGAUCGUCGCCAUGGGCAUCUGCCUCGGCGGAGGUGCGCAGUUUAUCGCGGGUCUGCUCGAGUGGGUGCGCGGUAACACCUUCGCGUACGUCGCCUUCACCUCGUACGGCGCCUUCUGGCUGUCCCUCGUGUGCGUCUGGAUGCUGCCCAACACGGCCGCCGGCACCUCCAAGCUCGUGGAUCCAGCGAGCGAGUACUUCGUAGGCGUGUACCUCUUCUUGUGGGGCAUCUUCUCCUUCGUCAUGCUUCUGUGCACCAUCCGCAUGAACCUCGCCAUCUUUCUCGUGUUUCUCACCGUGACGCUGCUCUUCCUGAUGCUCGGCUGCAGCAGCAUGGCGAGCAGCGCCGUGGGGCUGCGUGCGGCCGGCUACGAGGGCAUCAUCUGCGGCUCCCUCGCCCUCUACCUCGCCUUUGCCGAGAUUCUGAACGAGAUGUGGGACCGCACAAUCCUGCCGGUGAUCCCGAUGACGCAGGUGCUCGGCUGGCUCGGCGCCAGCCCGGAGAAGGCGAGCGACAGUGCCGAGCUGGAGAACCACGAGCAGCUACCCAAGGGCAACUGAAGCGGUGAAGACAGUGUGCGCUUUAUGAAGAUGAAGGCACCGGUGCGGAGGAGGGAAAGGAGAGAGAGCUUUUCUGGAUGUCGCCCUAGACCCAGGCACAGAUACGCAGAUGCACUCAUGCACGUACACCAUCCAGCCCUCCCCCCCGUCCUCAGCUCGCUCGCUUUCUCCUUUGCUCGUGCGUAGCACCGUGCAUACGUGCGCAGCGCGUGCGUUGCCUUACCCCUCUUCUUCGGUUUCGGACCCUUCUUGGGCAGCCCGACUCCCUUCCGCCAUCUCUGUCGUCUGUGACGACGAAACCCACUUGCUGGCUCUUCGGCGUCGUCAUGCAUGCCCGUGCCACAGGGUGCAGGCUAACCGAGCCUUCUCUUCACGCCACGCCACGCUCUCUGUGAGCUCGUGUACCUUCCUCUGUCGCUCUCUCGCACGCACACAGACCUACCCUGUUACCCAUUGAGAUAUAGCGGUAGAUGUGUGCGUCUAUCUAUUCGGGCCUGUGCGUGUGCGUGUGUGGACGCGCCCUCGCGUUUGUUUUUUACUUUUAUGGUUUCUGCCAUUCUCUGCGCGUUCUUGUGCUCGUUGUUGUCUUCUCGCGUGUGGCUGGAUGCGUCCUGGCGCGUCUGGUGAAGCUGCGUGGCAUUGCGCGUUCACGUAGCCCUCAGUAGCACACACACACACACACACACACGCACAGGCACAGGCUCACCUGGUACUGCAUUCGGGAGCUGACGCGAGGCGCGGAAAAGAUCCGCCUUCUUCUCUCGAGACCACACCUCCUCCCUCUCUCUUGCUCCUUGCGUGUAAUGCCGGCAUUGUUGUUCCUUCGCGGCUUGCCGUUCUCUCAUGUCGCGGUGCUACGCCCGUUUUUUUUUUGGUGGGAGGGGGGGGGGUUCUGCAUGCGCGCCAUCUACCGCUGUCGCUAGAACCAUCCACCUUCGCGCAUCCACGAGACAUCGUGUGCGUCUCUUCUUUUCAUUUGCCCUUCAUAGAGGGCAGCGUGGCAGCGCACUGAAAGCGGAGCGGAGAAGUGGCCGUCGUCUCGCUCACAUGGGCAAGUGAGGCACCGAGGUUAGCGGUGGGUGCGGUCGAUAUAGCACACGCAUGCUCGAGAGACCUCUGAGACGAAGAGGAGGAGGAGGAGGGGGAUUGGUAGGUGGGGGAGACGGGGGGGAUCGCCGCGCAGUACGGCGUGCCAUCCUUCUGCCCUGCUCCAUCUUUUUUUUUGGAGCUCUUUUGCUUUCUUGUGGGUUAGCGUUGCCGAUGGCCGUUCUGUUUUCGUGCGUGUGCUCGCGCGCGCUCUCCGGCUCCUGCGAGAGAGGAGGGAGGGAGGGAGGGAGGGAGGGAGCGCGAGCGCGAGCGCGAGCGAGAGACGGAGCGCGAAAGGGGCGAAGAACAAUGCGAGCGGUGCCGCGCACAGGGGGGGGGAGCAUAGCCAGUGGAGAUGGUGGUGGCCCUUGGGGAACGAAAGAGGCAACAGGUACGACACAGCGGUACCUUUCUCCUGCGGCCCCUCCCCCUCCCCCUCCCUCUGCCUCUCUCUCUCUAAACCCCUACGCGCACGCACGCCGACGCCGAGCUACGAGCAACGCCCUCAUGCCUUCGCCCUUCCUCGUUGCUUCAUCAUCAGUGUGUUCCCCUGUUUUAGUUCGUGUGCACGUACUUGCGCGUCUAUAUAUAUAUAAUCUUUUUUGUUGUUUUGCCUUGAUCCCUUGCAAGCGUCUUCCUCUUCCUUUCUUCACCCCCUCCCCCCCCCUCCCCCACAUACAGCACACACAAACACCCCCUCCUCCUUCGACGUUGCUGCUCUCGCGAAUACAGAUAAGGUAUAGGUAUGUUAUAUAUUGUGUGCAGGGAGGAGGCGGGGGCGGGCUCUUCUCCUGGCCAUAAACCCCACCAGCCCUUCCCCUCCCCUCCCAAGCGAAACUAAAAACGUGCAUCCUCACGGCAUGUGUGAAGAGGGGGACGGUGUGCAAGACGUACCACACGCACACGUCCGUGUGCAUGUGUGUGUGUGUGUGUUGGUCGUGACGUGUCCUCUCUCUUCCCCUUAGCCCUUACCUCGCCGCUGUCGUUGUCCUCGGUGCGUGUCUUGGAAAAAUAUAGAUAUAUGGUGUGCACAUGCAUACAUAUGUAUGCAUGUGUUUGCCUCCCAAUGCUCAGCCUGCUUCCUCCGUUUGCUUUACGUUUGCUUUUUCGCGCGCGCGCGUGUGUGUGUGUGUGUGUGUGUGUGUGUGCACGCGCGAUGCAUAGCCAAGAAAAAAAAAACGAAGCGCGCAAAUUCGUUUCCUUUCCUUUCUGUUUGCCUUCAAGACG